CAGAAAUAGAGCUGUUCGGUUUAAUUCGAUUUUUCAUCCAUUUUGAUUUGAUUCAAUUUUUAAAAUAUAAAAUUUAAUUUUCAUAAUUUAGCACAUCCAAAAAUCUUUCUGUACAUAUAGCUAUACACUGUAAUUUCUCGUAUAAUAGAUGCUCCUCAAAAAGUGGUGGUGGUCAUGAGGGUGACAUCUGUAAUUUCAAUCGUCGAAAAUGGGCAAUUGCGUCAUAACGAAAAAAAG
rnacentral:misc_RNA from 1 species